UGGGGAAUAUUGCACAAUGGGCGCAAGCCUGAUGCAGCGACGCCGCGUGCGGGAUGGAGGCCUUCGGGUGUAAACCGCUUUUGUUCAAGGGCAAGGCACGGUCUUUGGCCGUGUUGAGUGGAUUGUUCGAAUAAGCACCGGCUAACUACGUGCC
rnacentral:rRNA from 1 species